rnacentral:misc_RNA from 1 species
GAUAUACUGAGCUUGUAAUGGAGUACAAGUCCUUGGCAAAGAAUAAACAAGCUAUCAGCAUCUGCAAGUAAACUGAUCGGAAGGUCCCCUUCAUCCCGAUUUGUUGCCUUCCUUUUUAUUUCACCGUCACUCUUCGUGCACUUUCCGGUAGAAGGUGUGGGAGAUCGGGGGAUCUUGUUGUGCCCAGAAAAUAAACUCUUGC